rnacentral:lncRNA from 1 species
GGGACAAGAUAAAUAAUUUAUUACUUUAUAUAUUAGUCACACUAGAAAUUUCUAAAAAUAUACGGUGAAUUUCUUACACAAUAUCGAAAUCUGCAAUAGCAAGAUUCAACUCCUCGCGAAAUAUGUUGUCAAUGUUACAAGUGCUAUCUUUAGUAUACCACCUUGCUGGAUCAACAAGAGAGUAAAUCGGGUCAUGACGUGUGGUGUUGUAUUCGUUCUCAUAUUCUACCCUUUUCUUUUUCAUCUUUUUCCUCUUUCCAACCCUUCUUUGUCGCCGGUUUGAGCCCUCGCAUGGCCACUGGAGGUAUUAUAAAUCGAUCGCGUCUCCAAGGUCCCGUAAAAUUAAUCAUAGUGCACGCAUCGAAACAGCGAAUCCUGAUGAGUACAGUUAGUUGAAUUCGCAAAGCGAUACCCGAAAACUACGAUUAUUUAAAAAAAAAAGAAUGGGGUCAUAGUUGUUUGGGGUCUAACGACAUGCUUAGAAGUUUCUUAUGUCAAAUAGACCUUGAUUCCUACCAAAUGAAGAGACAGAUCUUCGUCCACUGACAUCCAGAGAUGAUUUUCUACCCAUCUUUGUAAUAGUACAUGUUACUUAAUAAAGAAAAAGAAGACGCUGGAAAGAUUACUGCAGUUCCUCUGUUGAUGUUCUCCCAAGUUCUAGCACUCCCUCUUGUCUCAUUUUGCUACCUGGCUUGCGUUUCACAAAGUUUGUGCGGAAAUGUUUGAAUAGAAGUAAUUGCAUCGAGUUCAUAAACGAAAAUUUAAAAGGGCAACGUAAAUUGUGAAUAUAUAGAAAAGCUGUUUUACAUACUCUUUUACUUUGGGGAUUUAUAGUCUGUCUG